AGAAAAAGUGAAGGGCGCCCUGAGAGCUUAGCUGCCCGAAUGAAUGCCUGCUGCGUCUUAAAACAACCUUCUGGAGACUUUUUUUCUGAGUAGCCACUAGUUCUAGUCUCAACAGAUGGUGAGGGAAAAUGACAAAAAUAAGCACUAUGAUUGUGCGUGUUUCUCAGGCAAAAGUUAAGACAACUAAGUCGGAGGCGGGCCGGGACCGUCUAAGGCACCUCCCUGCGGUCUUCCCAGAGUACGCUGCGCGGGACGACCUUUGAGCGAUCCAGUCUGGGUGGAGUGGUCGUAAGAUAAAUGCUGGGAACGGACCCGUACGCGACCCGUAGGGUUCACGCAUAAAAAGAUUCACUGGGGCGAGAAAGACUCGUGUUGAUGCUGAUCGCCCACCACUAGGCAGCCCACCAUGUAACCUCUUCUCCCUCAGUCUGGAGUAUUUGGAGGCGACCUCCCUUUGGGAAGAUAACUGGCAGAUAAGCAAAGAAGUCACUGGAGAAAUGUAUUCAAGUAUUUACUGAGUGUCUGACACUGUGAAUAAAACAGACUCUGUCUGUGUCCUCAUGGAGUUGCCAUCCCAGCAGAGGAGCCGGAUUGUACACUAGCCAAGUUCAGCACGAAGAUGAUUUCAGGUAGUUAUGGGCACUACAGAGUAAAUGUUAGGUGGUAGGUAGGUGGCUCGUUUCACCUGGGUAGAGUCAGGGAAGUCUUCCCUGAGGACGUGGCAUUGAACCCCAAACUUGAAGUAGAAGGGAGAGGAGGCAAGCAGAGAGAACCACUCUCUGAGGGCAGAAGGCACUCAGAGGGCUCAAGGGGCAGAAAGGAAAUAGAACGGAGGGAGGGGAGUAGCCAGAGAAGAAAUGGAGCAGUUAGUUACACGGGCCACGUCCUGUAGUGUCCAUCUUUGCUUUGUAGCGUUGACCUACAGUUGGCCUGGGGUUCUUAAAACCAUGCAGAGUUUGCCCGACUAGCUUCUUGGGGCCAGGAAUCCCCUGAAAUUAUAACCAAAGGAUUCUGAGAUGUGUGCUAGGCAGUCUCUGUGCGCCCUACCAGAGCCCUUCUCUACCCUUUCCCGCACUGCUCUGUGCCCCUGGGGGCUGAUCGCUACACGGCGGGUCAACUUAGCUGCCUUUUCCUCACAUCCAGUUGAGUUUGGCCCUGGUAGGGAGAUCUGAGGGCUGGAGGAAAGGAGGGUGUAGGGAUAUAUACUCUGGCUCCCCCACCCUGGUGGUCUGCAUGUCUCUACCAGAGCCUGCAACUCCAGCUCUCCCCAGGUUCCACAACAGCUUCCUCCCUAGCAACUUUAGGCCUGGGCUGGUAACAGCUUCCUGACCCCGGGGAGUCACCAUCCCUUGCUGAUUCCCCUUCACCCUGCCCAUGACUCCUAGUUGUACCUCUUCUUGGCGCUAUCUCUAUGAUAGCUGACUAAUACAGGGAAGUGUGUCUGUUUUUCUGAAUUCAGAAUUCCAGGUUAACGAUUCCUGCAUCAUGUUAAAUGCUCCCAGGAUGAAGUCCUCACAUUCAUCCAAGGUCUUUCACACAUAUUACUAUGUCUCCAUAGAAUGUCCUUCCCUUGUCAACUUCUCAGGCUUUUGGAGUCAGAUAUCUAACACCUCCUCCCAGAAACCCUCCCUGAACAUGCAGAAGAAGCUAGGUUAAGAGCUACCCUUUGUGACUGCCUCCGUUAUAGCUCUUCACCAACUGAACUCUCAUUAUCUGCUUGUCUGACUCUCUAAUCAAACUCUGGGCAUCCUGAGGGCAGGAGUUUUUUAUUCCUCAUGGUGUCCCUGGCACUCAGCACAGUUCUGAGCCCUUCAUGGCAUUCGGUAAACAGUUGGUAGAAUAAAUAAGCCAGGAAUGUCUCUUAACUCUGUAUCUUACACAGCCAGGAUAGAGCAAAAAAAUAGACUGAAUACUAUUUUUCGACUUUCAGGUCAGACAAUCAAGAAGUAGUUGUGGUUCACUGUGUGCCAAGCACUGUCGUAGGCGUUGGGAAACUACAGGAGGCACCACAGACCCCCCCUGCUGGAUGAGGGAAGAGAGCUGGAUGAUUUCAAUAAAUUCAAGGAUGUUCUGUAAAUCACCAUGACCUAAUUUAAUGGAUAUUUACAGAAUAUUAUACCAAGCAACUGCAGAGUGUACUUUCAUCUCAAGUGCAUACAGAAUGUGGAUCAAGAUAUGCUGGGCCAUUAAAGUAUCAAUAAAUCUCAAGGGAUUGAAAUUAUAUGGAGUGCAUUCUAUGGCCACAAAGGAGUUAAAUUUAAAUAUCACUAACAGUAAGCUAUCAAAAAAUCCCAAAUGUUUGGAAAUUGACACAUUUCUAAAUAAAGUGUGAGUCAGAGAAAAAAUUCACAAGGGAAAUAAAUUUCUAACUUAGGCACAAUAUGUCAGAAUGUGUGAGAUGCAGGGGCGCCUGGGUGGCACAGCGGUUAAGCGUCUGCCUUCGGCUCAGGGCGUGAUCCCGGCGUUAUGGGAUCGAGCCCCACAUCAGGCUCCUCUGCUAUGAGCCUGC